rnacentral:rRNA from 1 species
UUGUACACAACCGCCCGUGCACACCACGAGAUGUAUGUACAACACAGCUGAAGUCGGUACCCUAACCUUCGGAGCCAGCCGCCGAAGUGGGUAGAUAUGGGGUGAAGUCGUAACAAGGUAGCCGUACGGAAGGUGCGGCUGGAUCACCUCCUUCU